rnacentral:lncRNA from 10 species
GUGGCAAUGCAAUCACAGCUUUCAGCUCUGUGAAAAACUCUCACCCCAUCAAAAAAGGCCAUUUUAAAAAUUACAAUUAGUCUUGUAUCUUGAUUGUAUGUCAUUUUUUCUUUUUAUUGUUGUAUUUUCUUAGUACUUAUUUUGUCAUCUAAAAGUGCUCCUCUAAUUUGAGGUUAAUUUUAUUUUAGUUUUGACAGUAGCUUGCUUUCCAAGUCCUGUUUUUAAAGAAUUGUUCCACAGAGUAGAGUGAAUAACAUUUUCUAUCUCUUGAGAACUGGUUUUCAAGUAUCAAAUGCUUUGUGGUUUUCAAAGUACUUUCACACACAAAACUCACUUGAUUCUCACAGAAACCCUAUGAGGUAGACAGAGAGACACAGUAUAGUGAAUAGCUAUGGGUCUGGGGUCAAAUCACUUAGUGUACUUAGGUGGCUCCACCCCUGUGGCUCUGCAGGUUAUGGCCCCCACAGCUGCUUUCACAGGCUAAUUUUUUUUAUUUGUAUUUUUUCGAAACAGGGUCUCACUCCAACACCCAGGCUGGAGUGCAGUGGUGGUGUGAUUAUGGCUCACUACUGCCUUGACUUCCCAGAAUCAGGUGAUUCUCCUACCUCAGCUCUCAAGUAACUGGGACUACAGGGGCAUACUACCAUGCCUGGCUAAUUUUUUUUUUUUUUUUUGUAGAUACGGGCUUUCACUGUGUUACCCAGGCUGGUCUUGACUCCUGGACUUAAAACUAUCCACCAGCCUCAGCCUCCCAAGGUGCUGGGAUUACAGGUGUGAGCUACCACUAGUGGCCUCUUCUAAGAGGAAAUUUGGAUAUACAGAGAGACACCAGAGAUGUGGGGGCACAGAGGAAAGACCUGCUAGGAUACAGUAAGAAGGCAGCCUCUGCAAACUUAGGACAAAGUCCUCAGGAGAAACCAAACCUGCUCACACCUUGAUCCUGGACUUCUAGCCUCCAGAACUGUGAAAAAAAUAUUCUGUUGUUUAAGCUACCCAGUCUGCGGCAUUUUGUUUUGCCAGCUCUAAUAAACUAAUAAACAACCGAUGGUGUAAAGAUGUAAUAUGGAUUUAAAAACCUUAGAUAGUAAGAUACAUAAAGGUCGCAACGGUGGUAGUGUCUUUGUCUUUUGUCAACACAAAAAUGUUGUGUUUGUGCAUCUGGCUCUACAGCUUGUGCUUUUAAUCACUAUGCUAUACCAGAUUAUACAUAAGAGGGAAGGAUGCCUGUUGAUGUAGCCAAUCACAAAUAUGCUGUUUUUACUGAAUUGAAGGCAAAUGGGGAGACCAUUUUAUAUCUAAUGCCUAAGUUAAAGUCAUUUUUAAACUUAUGUAGCCCUCAACACUUUCCCUUGGGCAAAC